ensembl:lncRNA
AUUUCUGACAGAACCCCAACACCAGGGAGAAGGCUCAGGCCCUUUGGUGGCCUGGCUGCAUCAGACCGCAGACGGGCCCCCCAGGAAGGACCUGGCCCAGGUGGUGGGGAACCUGAAGGUCCGUGUGAAGGGAGUCAGGAAGCUGAGGGCGGAAACAGAAACCAUGGACCCAGGCCAGACCGCCCAGGACCCAAACCAGCUCCCCAAUGUGCCUGACAGCCCCCCCACAAAGGCCCUGGCCCAGGUCAUGGGGAACCUGAGGUUCCGGGUGAAGGGCCUCAAAAAGAAGAGGGUUCAACCAGCGACCACCUCUCGGCUUGAUGAGGAGAAGCCUUUGGGCCGCCCUUCAGGCCGGAGCCCCUUCCCUGGCCAGACCGCCCCGGACCAAGACCAGACCGCCCCGGACCAAGGCCAGACCGCCCCGGACCCAAGCCAGAUCCCUGAGGAACCUGCAGACAGGGCCCCGACAAAGGACCUGUCCCAGGUAUUGGGGAACGUGAGGGUCCGGGUGAAGAGGUCAAGAAGGCAGAAGGUUGAAACAGCUACCACCGCCCUGACAGAGCAGGAGGGGGAGAAGCCUUUGGGCCGCCCUUCACGCCAGAACCCCUAUAGGCGCAUCAAGAUGGCCUGGGCCGACCCAAAGGCCGUCAUCACCACGACGCCCCCCCGAACACCCCUGAACAUCAGGAUCUGGUCAUCGAGGCCGAGGAGGAGGGGGAAGCCACAGCUCAGGCUGAGGGGACGGGCCUCAGGCCCCGGGUCAACAAGUGGCUGAACCGUAGAAUGAAGGAAAUGUCCACAUUCGCGGCCCAGUUCCAGUGUGGGUCGUGUGUGCCCUGA